rnacentral:lncRNA from 1 species
ACUUAAUCUCUCUGGGUUUCAGUUUUGUCAUCUGUAAAAUGAGGGGGUUGGAUUUUGUGACCUGUGAGGUCCCUUCUAGCUCUUUAUCUAUGAUCCUAAAAAAUCAAAGUGCAGUGUUUGAAGGGAGUGAUCAUUAUUUGUUGGUCUAUGUUUACCCCUCUCACCACUCCCAAAUUCCCACCCCACCACAUGAGCUUCAGUUCCAUUUGGGCUCUGACCACAUUGCCUCCUCUUGAGUUAGCACAGAUCCUGAUUUGAAAAUGGACAAUGCGUUCACCCAGCCUGGUGUCAUGGAAACAGAGACGCCAGCAUUCACUCUGCCUUUUUGAAACAAAAAUCCCUGAAACUUCAUCACUCCAUUUUCAAGUGUUUGAUGGUGAACAGCACUGCAGAUUAUGGAGCCUGAUUUAUUCAGCAUUUUUACCUUAUCACAACUCUCUCUGUGGCCUGAAGCCCUCUGGGAACGCACUGUACAAAGAAGACAACCAGAAGAGGGAUUGCAUGCCGAUCUUACAAGGAAAACCAAAUAAGCUCAAUGAGACCCUUCCCUGCACAGAAAUGAACAGAUCCUGAAAUCCCCAGACAUGCAAAGAACAAGGCUACAGUAUGCAGCCUGCAAUUUUUCCCUGCAAGUAAGACAAGCAUGGUGAUGAUGGUUGAUUAAAGAGGUGGCAGCUGUGGUUG